rnacentral:tRNA from 1 species
GCGGCUCUACCCCAAUCGGCAGAGGGACCGGUCUCAGGUACCGGACGUUCCGGGUUCGAAUCCCGGGAGCCGCA